AGCACAGAGCCCUCCGGCCUGAGGGACAGCCGGGUGCCAGGACUGGAAGUGCAACAAGGCUCCGAUUGCUGGUGAGGCUGAGAGAGGCUGUUCCCCUCCAAAACCUCUGUGAUUGCUCUCGAGAGAAAACUUUUCAGCAGAGAACGGAGAUCCAGUGAAACCAGAAUGAUUCAUUGGUGUUCAACCUGAGAAUUUAUUUCUUUUGAUAUGCCCUGUGUAUGGAGGCACCAUGUUGGUUCUGAUUUAUUUUGUGAAAGGAGAGUAGGGGAGAAAAAUCUGCGCUUUUCUGUGGCUUCAGCUCAAGAUGAGAUCAAUGGAAAUUGGUGGAUCUUUAGGACCCCCCCAGAAAUUAUCCAGGACAAGAGGAAGAAGUGUUUCGACCCUCAGGAAUAAAGUGGCUACCAACCUUUGGUGUUAUGACCCCACAAAUGACUGAUACCAGGUUGCUUCAUUCUCAUCCACCACGGGGCAAAGAUCUUCCAAACACUCAGGAAGGCUCUGCAGGAACACUGGGAUCGCAUCUUCCAGAGGAGUUUUGUUGGACCCCUCAGUCCUUUUUCUUUAACUGAGCUGCAGCGCAUGGGAGGAGCUGCAAACACACAGUGACCACAGGGCCUCGCUGCUUUGGGACACUUCAGUUUGCUUGUUGUUAUUUAGAAGAAACUUCACCCAGUCAACCUCGAUGCCCUUGGCUUUUCCUUCUCCUCAAAAAGCCCUUGAGAAAUUUGUCAUUCAAACCAUCACUCUUUGUUUCAGGGUUUAAUAUCCAUCACUGGAACAUCAAAACUCCUCCAGAAAUGCUGGGAAGACCCACAUCAGGAUAACAUGAAAAUGAAACAAUGACAGCUACUGAAUGACAGGACUUAUAUUUUGACCACUUAUUUUUGUUUUCUGCCUUUUAUCCAAGACAGAGGAAAAACUGAGCAGAACAGUGUGAAAACAAACAGCAAAACUCAUCCCUGCAGCCUCAGCCAACUUCUCCUGUGAUCUGGGAAAAAUACCCCAUUGCCCACAUCUUCCCCUGCAGGCUUCCCUCUCUAAUUUACUGCA